AUUGAACGCUGGCGGAAUGCUUUACACAUGCAAGUCGAACGGCAGCACGGGGGCAGCCCUGGUGGCGAGUGGCGAACGGGUGAGUAAUACAUCGGGACGUGCCCGGUCGUGGGGGAUAACGUAGCGAAAGUUACGCUAAUACCGCAUACGAUCUGAGGAUGAAAGCGGGGGACCUUCGGGCCUCGCGCGAUCGGAGCGGCCGAUGUCAGAUUAGGUAGUUGGUGGGGUAAAGGCCUACCAAGCCGACGAUCUGUAGCUGGUCUGAGAGGACGACCAGCCACACUGGGACUGAGACACGGCCCAGACUCCUACGGGAGGCAGCAGUGGGGAAUUUUGGACAAUGGGCGCAAGCCUGAUCCAGCCAUUCCGCGUGCAGGACGAAGGCCUUCGGGUUGUAAACUGCUUUUGUACGGAACGAAAAGGCUCUGGCUAAUACCUGGGGCUCAUGACGGUACCGUAAGAAUAAGCACUGGCUAACUACGUG
rnacentral:rRNA from 1 species